rnacentral:rRNA from 1 species
GACGAACGCUGGCGGCGCGCCUAAUACAUGCAAGUCGGACGGACAGCCCUCGGGUUGUCAGUGGCGGACGGGUGAGUAACACGUGGGUGACCUGCCUUCCGGUGGGGAAUAACGCUUAGAAAUAGGCGCUAAUACCGCAUACGCUUAGUGCUUCGCUGCAUUAAGUAAAGAGCGAUUGCCGGAAGAGGGGCCUGCGUCAGAUUAGCUAGUCGGUGGGGUAACGGCUUACCGAGGCACGAUCUGUAGCUGGUCUGAGAGGACGACCAGCCACACUGGGACUGAGACACGGCCCAGACUCCUACGGGAGGCAGCAGUAAGAUAUUCCACAAUGGGCGCAAGCCUGAUGGAGCGACGCCGCGUGAGUGAAGAAGGCCUU